rnacentral:piRNA from 1 species
UGCCAUCUCACGGCUGUCAGCUUUGUUC